rnacentral:rRNA from 1 species
AUUGAACGCUGGCGGCAGGCUUAACACAUGCAAGUCGAGCGGGGGAAGGUAGCUUGCUACCGGACCUAGCGGCGGACGGGUGAGUAAUGCUUAGGAAUCUGCCUAUUAGUGGGGGACAACAUCUCGAAAGGGACGCUAAUACCGCAUACGUCCUACGGGAGAAAGCCGGGGAUCUUCGGACCUUGCGCUAAUCGAUGAGAUUAGGUCGGAAUAGCUAGAUGGUGGGGUAAAGGCCUACCAAGGCGACGAUCUGUAGCGGGUAUGAGAGGAUGAUCCGCCACACUGGGACUGAGACACGGUCCAGACUCCUACGGGAGGCAGCAGUGGGGAAUAUUGUACAAUGGGAGGAACCCUGAUCCAGCCAUGCCGCGUGUGUGAAGAAGGCCUUAUGAUUGUAAAGCACUUUAAGCGAGGAGGAGGCUACUCUAGUUAAAACCUAGGGAUCGUGGACGUUACUCGCAGAAUAAUCACCGGCUAACUCUGUGCCAGCCGCCGCGGUAA